rnacentral:rRNA from 1 species
ACAGCAGUCAGCCACGGGAAUACGUAGGGUGCAAGCGUUAAUCGGAAUUACUGGGCGUAAAGCGUGCGCAGGCGGUUAUAUAAGACAGAUGUGAAAUCCCCGGGCUCAACCUGGGAACUGCAUUUGUGACUGUAUAGCUAGAGUACGGCAGAGGGGGAUGGAAUUCCGCGUGUAGCAGUGAAAUGCGUAGAUAUGCGGAGGAACACCGAUGGCGAAGGCAAUCCCCUGGGCCUGUACUGACGCUCAUGCACGAAAGCGUGGGGAGCAAACAGGAUUAGAUACCCGCGUAGUCCCUGUCUCUUAUU